AGCGUUUGGUGGGGGUGUUUUAUCCUGCUUUUCGCUCGUACAAUGCAUGGCGUUUGUACUCGUUCGAUUUCCUCAGCAAGUUGUUUAGCGAGGCUAAUAAUUUCUCUGGAUUU